rnacentral:tRNA from 1 species
GAGGUUGUGGCUCAGCGGUAGCACUCGCCUUGCACGAGUGAGGCGCUGGGUUCGAUCCUCAGCACCACA